ensembl:snRNA U2 U2 spliceosomal RNA
AUAGCUUCUCAGCCUUUUGGCUAAGAUCAUGUAUACUCUCUCUUAAUCAAUUUAACAUCUGAUACAUCCUCCAUCUGAGGACAAUAUAUUAAGUGGAUUUUUAGAGCAGAGAGAUGGAAUAAGGGCUUGCUCCAUCCACUCCACACCACACAUCAACAUGGUAUAUGGUAUUGCAGUAUCUUAG